CAGAUGCUCACUGCUUGCAUUAACAGUCUCGCCAUCAGGGAAUCAUGCUGUGUGUCACCGUUCCACAGCGGAGAUGGAUGAUGCUGUUGCUGCUGGUGCUGGGACUGCUGAUGCAGAGCUGUAAGCAACUGAAGAUGGGAAAAGGUGCAUUAAUGUAAUGCAUGUAUUGAGGGUGGGCUUUUGGUUUAAGACUCUGUGUCAGUGGGGGUCCUGGGAGCUUUUGAUGGGCUGCAGAUGGGAAACCGCUGUUUUUGUGUGGGGAAGCUUUGGUCCUGCUAGACUGCAGCCUCCUGCCAGAGGGAAGUGUCUUAGAGAGUUUGUGUGUGCGAUGGGAGGGGUCAGUCACAAUCUUAUCAGUAUGCAGCAAGAGCCGAACUGCAGUCUCUGAACGUGAGUUUGGAACACGGGACAGCCAGGAGCCCUGAAUCAGAGAACUGGAUGGACCUUUAUAGUGUUUAUAGCUGUUUACCCCCCCUUUGCAUUUCUGACUGGCUCUAUUAAUCCUCUCUCUUUGCCUCUGUGCUUUCCCUUCCUCGUCCAGCACUUCGCCACUGCCAGUUGCCAGUCCAGUUGUGCACCCAUAAUGGGGGAGAUAUCAAAGAUCCUCAGUGCCACCACUGGAGGCUCCGUCCUGAUCCCCUGCUCUUUACCAGUUCCUCCACUGAGUCUCAGAUGGUUUUACUGGCAGGAGGACCAGUCCACCAACAUCUUGUUUCACUGGGACAGUUUCAGUGGGCAAACACAGCCAAUUGCCAACAAAUACAGGGACAGAUGCCAAGUCUUCAGUACUCAGUUUAGUUCUGGAAAUAUUUCCAUUAGACUUGACAAUGUUACUGUUGGAGAUGACAACAAAACAUUCUGGGUCUAUGUACGUUUAAUCGACAAGAAAAACGUCCCCAAACCAUCUGAACAACGUUGCAAAUCCACACUGCAGGUUUCAGCUCCCUACCAACAUCUAGUCCUGACUGUUAACAACACAGCUAACAGAGCAACCUGCACAGCACAUGGAGGAUACCCUGAACCUAAAGUGUCAUGGACGGGUCGAAACAAAUCCAGCAUUGCACAGCUGGACCUGCAGGAUGCUGAGACAUCCCUGCAGCAGGAUCCAACAGAGAAAACCUUCUCAGUCACAAGCUCUGUCAGUAUGAAGGAGUUCCAGUCUGUAACCUGCAUCAUCUUCAACCCUCGCACCAACCAGAGGAUUAAAGGAACUGCAGAGAUCAAUGAUUCUGGUGAAGACCAGACGUAUCAUCAUUUGGCUGUUGGAAUAACUGUAUCUCUCAUCAUCAUCAUCAUCAUCAUCAUCAUCAUCAUCGCAUUCAUUUCAUCAUAUGUGUGCUACAAAAAAAGAAAGAACCAGAGCGAGAUUAUAAAAGAUCUUCACCAGCCCAGCAAUGGACCACUUCAGCUUUGCUCAGGAGAAAUGUUGCUAGUCCAAAACAGAGAGACUGGUCUUUCUUCAGACCAACAGGAUAAAGAACUGUGUAUAUCCUCAAGCACACUGUAA
rnacentral:lncRNA from 15 species